rnacentral:rRNA from 1 species
GCUAAGAAUCUUCCGCAAUGGGCGAAAGCCUGACGGAGCGACGCCGCGUGAACGAAGAAGGCCGUGAGGUUGUAAAGUUCUUUUCGGGAGGGGGAACAACCGUGGCAGGGAAUGGCCGCGGGAUGACGUGAAUCCCGGAAUAAGCCCCGGCUAACUACGUGCCAGCAGCCGCGGUAACACGUAGGGGGCGAGCGUUGUUCGGAAUCAUUGGGCGUAAAGGGCGUGCAGGCGGUCCUGCAAGUCCGGCGUGAAAGACCCCGGCCCAACCGGGGGGACGCGCUGGAAACUGCAGGGCUUGAGUACAGGAGGGGAUGCCGGAAUUCCAGGUGUAGGGGUGAAAUCUGUAGAUAUCUGGAAGAACACCAAUGGCGAAGGCAGGCAUCUGGCCAUGUACUGACGCUGAGACGCGAAGGUGCGGGGAGCAAACAGGUUUAGAUACCCGGGUAGUCC